UACAGAGGGUGCUAGCGUUGUUCGGAACCAUUGGGCGUAAAGGGCGUGUAGGCGGUUUGUUAAGUCAUGUGUGAAAGCCCCCGGCUCAACCGGGGAACGACGCAUGAAACUGGCAAGCUAGAGUACCGAAGAGGGGGGUGGAAUUCCCGGUGUAGCGGUGAAAUGCGUAGAUAUCUGGAGGAACACCGGUGGCGAAGGCGGCAUCCUGGACCGGCAUUGACGCUGAGGCGCGAAAGCUAGGGGAGCAAACGGG
rnacentral:rRNA from 1 species